rnacentral:misc_RNA from 1 species
GAAAUUACACAUCUAUUAUCAUAAACUGUACAUGCAAAGCUGGAUACAAAUUACUACAAUUACAUUACACAUCUAUUAUCAUAACUAGAUCGUGCUCAUUCAGUAGAAGCAUUUUUAAUAUUUACAUAACAAGCUUGAUACCAGUUGAAGACACACAAACAUCAACAGAGAGAGAGAGAACAACGUAUUAAUCACAUUACAUAGGAUCAAUAGAAUUCGCGGUCAGGCAAUAACAGUGGAGCCACAAGUGACCAAACAUACAGUCCAGCAGUAACCCAUUCCGUGCAUAUGCGAACCCAAAGUGAUGUCCAGCCGACAUCAAUUAGCUCUGAACUCUCAGAACUGCUAGUCCACCCAGAAAGAAGCAUCGCGGAAUACAUGCUAGCCAGAGCAAAUAUCAGAUGGAAGAAUGUGUAGGAGUAGCUCACUGGCCGUGCUUCUGGUGAUCCUUUCCCAGAUUCCAGCUCCUCGGAAGCAAGAAGAGAUUUCUUCUCACCUACAACUGAUCUGGGAGAAGAUGGUGGAGACAUAAAAGUUGUUGCAGAUCCAGCACGAAGAGCAGAAUAUAGGACUGAGAGAACAGUUGUA